GUUGUAAACCUCUUUUAGCAGGGAAGAAGCGAAAGUGACGGUACCUGCAGAAAAAGCGCCGGCUAACUACGUGCCAGCAGCCGCGGUAAUACGUAGGGCGCAAGCGUUAUCCGGAAUUAUUGGGCGUAAAGAGCUCGUAGGCGGUUUGUCGCGUCUGCUGUGAAAUCCCGAGGCUCAACUUCGGGUCUGCAGUGGGUACGGGCAGACUAGAGUGCGGUAGGGGAGAUUGGAAUUCCUGGUGUAGCGGUGGAAUGCGCAGAUAUCAGGAGGAACACCGAUGGCGAAGGCAGAACUCUGGGCCGUAACUGACGCUGAGGAGCGAAAGGGUGGGGAGCAAACAGGCAUAGAUACCCUGGUAGUCCACCCCGUAAACGUUGGGAACUAGUUGUGGGGUCCAUUCCACGGAUUCCGUGACGCAGCUAACGCAUUAAGUUCCCCGCCUGGGGAGUACGGCCGCAAGGCUAAAACUCAAAGGAAUUGACGGGGACCCGCACAAGCGGCGGAGCAUGCGGAUUAAUUCGAUGCAACGCGAAGAACCUUACCAAGGCUUGACAUAUACGAGAACGCUGCAGAAAUGUAGAACUCUUUG
rnacentral:rRNA from 1 species